rnacentral:rRNA from 1 species
GGAGGAGGGUAAGCGUUGUUCGGAUUUACUGGGCGUAAAGGGCGUGUAGGCGGCCUCGUUAGUCAGACGUGAAAUCCCAAGGGCUCAACCUUGGAAUUGCGCUUGAUACUGCGAGGCUAGAGUGUGGAAGGGGAGAGUGGAAUUCCCGGUGUAAGGGUGAAAUCUGUAGAUAUCGGGAGGAACACCAGUGGCGAAGGCGACUCUCUGGUCUGCUACUGACGCUGAGACGCGAAAGCUGGGGGAGCGAACGGGAUUAGAUACCCCGGUAGUCCCAGCCGUAAACGAUGUGCACUUGGUGUAGGUGGUUUUUCCGCCUGUGCCGGAGCUAACGCAUUAAGUGCACCGCCUGGGGAGUACGGCCGCAGGGCUG